rnacentral:misc_RNA from 1 species
UUUCCGUAGGUGAACCUGCGGAAGGAUCAUUCAUAAUAAAGUGUUUUAUGGCACUUUUUAAAAAUCCAUAUCCACCUUGUGUGCGAUGUUAGAUCUCGUCAAUCUUGGCGAGAUUUUUAUACAUCAACUCAUUCUUUAACUAAUUUGUCUGAAAAAUAUUAUGAAUACUUAAUUCAAAAUACAACUUUCAACAACGGAUCUCUUGGCUCUC